rnacentral:rRNA from 1 species
UACGGAGGGGGCUAGCGUUGUUCGGAAUCACUGGGCGUAAAGCGCACGUAGGCGGGUCAGCAAGUCAGGGGUGAAAUCCCGGGGCUCAACCCCGGAAGUGCAUUUGAUACUGUAGGGCUUGAGUAUGGGAGAGGGAAGUGGAAUUCCUGGUGUAGCGGUGAAAUGCGUAGAUAUCAGGAGGAACACCGGUGGCGAAGGCGGCUUCCUGGACCAAUACUGACGCUGAGGCGCGAAGGCGUGGGGAGCAAACAGG